rnacentral:lncRNA from 1 species
UAAUCAUGCACAUGUUACUAAGAGGGAGGGAGUAGGGUACAUGUUGCCAUCUGUAUUUUUCUUGAAAAUUUACAGCACAACAAUAAUGGUUGACAACGCUGGAAAAUGAGCUUUAGUGGCAAUUCAGCCACGCUACGGAGGGGAAAGCCUCAAGUGGAAUCUGGGUCUUCUCAGCGCAGUCAGGGCAGUUAUCUCAGCUACUUCAGGGCAGCCACCUCAGCGCAGCUAUCUCAGGGCAGUUAUCUCAGCUACUUCAGGGCAGCCACCUCAGCGCAGCUAUCUCAGAGCAGCUAUCUCAGUUAUCUCAGCUACCUCAGCGCAGCUACCUCAGAGCAGCUAUCUCAGUUAUCUCAGUAGUUUUCAGCGCAGAAUGUCCGAGCUGUUGUCAGUUCAGAAUGUCUAUGCUCCGCGCAGGAAUAUCGUAAGCCGCGAAAGUUAGACAGGGUUCUUUGAUUGUCUAUGCUCCGCGCAGGAAUAUCGUAAGCCGCGAAAGUUAGACAGGGGUGUACCAUCUUUGUACCAUCUUGAGGGCCGCUCUGCGGGGGUGUACCAUCUUAAGG